rnacentral:sRNA from 1 species
UGCCCUUUAGAGCCUGGAGAGGGCAUGCAGAGGGCCUGUGGCUUGUCCCAGCCGGAGGUUACCCUUAAGGGGCCCAGCUGCCUUCUCUGGGGAGCUGUCUAUGGGGUCCCUGCAGCCCUCCAGUGGAGGCAGAGGCCCUGGCUCCUGACCGCACUUGUUCUGCAUAGGACUGGGCUAAGCCUGGGCCCUAUGACCAGCCUCUGGUGAACACCCUGCAGCGCCGCAAAGAGAAGCGAGAACCGGACCCCAACGCGGGAGGACCCACUACCGCCAGCGGCCCGCCUGCAGCAGCUGAGGAGGCUCAGAGACCACGGAGCAUGACUGUGUCGGCUGCCACCAGGGUGAUGCUCUUGUUCUCAAUAGUUGGUUGGGGCCACCUCAGCCUGGCUGGGGAUCAUAUUCUGGCCAGCAACUGGUGGGCCAAGGCAGCCUUGCAGCUGGAGGGACCUGGGCUCCAUUCCCUGACUUCCUGCUCUACAGCAAAGUCCCCGGGAAAACACCUUGUGUGGGAAUGAGAGAGGCAGAACUUUCUAGGGUCAGAGUGGGACCCAAGCAAGUCAGUAGCCCCCUGGGCCCACAGACAUGUGCUCAUGGGGGCAGAACAGGAGUGACGUUGAGGCCCCCCCUGAAGCAACCUUGUGUCUUUCUCUCCUCCAACAAGUUUCAGAUUAUGAUUAUUUCUCUGUAAGUGGUGACCAGGAGGCAGAUCAGCAGGAGUUUGACAAGUCCUCCACCAUUCCAAGAAACAGCGACAUCAGCCAGUCCUACCGACGGAUGUUCCAAGCCAAGCGUCCAGCCUCAACUGCUGGCCUCCCCACCACCCUGGGACCUGCUAUGGUCACUCCAGGGGUUGCAACUAUCCGACGGACCCCUUCCACCAAGCCUUCUGUCCGCCGGGGAGCCAUUGGAGCUGGUCCCAUUCCCAUCAAGACACCCGUGAUCCCUGUCAAGACCCCAACCGUCCCAGACCUCCCAGGGGUGUUGCCAGCCCCUCCAGAUGGGCCAGAAGAGCGGGGGGAGCACAGCCCUGAGUCACCAUCUGUGGGUGAGGGCCCCCAAGGUGUCACCAGCAUGCCCUCCUCAAUGUGGAGCGGCCAAGCUUCCGUUAACCCUCCACUUCCAGGCCCGAAGCCCAGUAUCCCUGAGGAGCACAGACAGGCAAUUCCAGAAAGCGAAGCUGAAGACCAGGAACGGGAACCCCCAAGUGCCACUGUCUCCCCAAGCCAGAUUCCAGAGAGUGACCCUGCAGACCUGAGCCCAAGGGAUACUCCACAGGGAGAAGACAUGCUGAACGCCAUCCGAAGGGGCGUGAAACUGAAGAAGACCACGACAAACGAUCGCUCGGCCCCUCGCUUCUCUUAGGCUCACAAGAAAUGCGCUGGUGGGGAAUGAACUGUUUCAUUAAUAAAACCUAAUUUGUCUUGAUCCAUUCCAAUCUAUAAUAAAACAAAAGAUUUUGUAGGCAACUGGGAAUAUAGCUCUUUUGAAAGUACUCGACACCUUUAGAUAAGAAUUAAAACCAACCUAUGUAACUGACAUAAUCUUGAUCUUUUAAUUUGUAAAUAUUGACAAUUUUCUUUCUGCACAUUUUAAUCUUAGUUUCCCUUUUGAUUUUUCUGAAGGUGCCAAAUUCCAUUUAACUUUUUUACAAGUCUUUGUAAAAUUUUAAAUGCAUAAGGGGGGUUGGGGCAGGGGAACCACGAAGUAGUUAAUUUUAGAAAAGGAUUUACUAUACUUCACUCUUCUUUUUUUUUCCCCACAAGCUUUUGUAGAUGCAUUGUAGUAGUCUAGCUUAGAAGCAAAUGCAAGUUAUUUUAAUGUACAAGCUAAAUGGGUAAGAGGUAAAUCUUCAUUUAAAUAUACUAUGUUCUGGAUGAAAAAGCAGGAGUAACAACUGAUGCGCAAUACUCAGAGUGAAGGACAUCUGGAAAUGGUAGACUGUUGGGACUGGGGGGAGGGCCACGGGAGGGGCACACCGUCAACAUAGCCGGUCCUGUUACAUUUAAGAGUAGCCUCGUAGGUUGAAUUUCUUCUAGUAGCUUCAUGGUAAAUGCAUCCGAAUAAGCCAUACUGGAUUGCAGUGUUUGUUUCUGUACGGUGUUUAAGGACUUCCUUUCUCCCACGAUUCCUCUGGACUGCACACAGCACCCACAACCAGCCCCAUGCAUGCUGCUGCCUCUGGGCAGUCGUAGAAUCUCCCACUUCAGUUUCUCGUUGAUUGUACUCACCUUCAUGGAAUCCAAAUACAUCCAAAAGGGUAAGGCAGUUUUAAAAAUGUGAAAACAUUUAAAAAUGAUAGCAGGGAAUUCUUAUAGUAAAUGCCUUUUACUUAACUGUGCCCAGCAGGCUGGGUGCGUUAAAAAGCCCAAAUAUUUUGAAAAAACUCGAACGGAUUUGACAAGGGUAGCCAGCUUGGAGUCUAGCAACUUGCCAAUGUGUUUACCAAUCUGGGGGCUUGUUUUUCUUUUCUUCUUUCAAAUAAAUGACAGUUAACUGGCUUCACAGUAAACAUUGAAGAGAGGAGGAUUUGUUUAUUGUCACUGGGAAUCUGACCACUAUACUGUCCUUUUUGUGUAUUCUGGGUAAUGUUUUUUGGAAAGGAUUUGUCUUUUUUAAGUGGAAGUUAAAUUUGUUAUACUGCCCAUCCCCUAAAGCCAACAGAGAUGUGUAGAUUUAAAGGGAUCACAUUUGAAGACAAUAGUGUUUAAGAAAAGCAAGCAAGUCCCUUAGCAGUCAGGUCAUAACAGGACACAUUUCUGACCGAACCCUCUCGAGGAGGAGUUUGGUGGGUCUCAGACACCCUGCAGAUUCCUGUUGGCUCUAACCCUCAAUUACCUAAUCUUAUGCUUUAACAGAUAACUGCAUUGGAUGUGAGAGUAACGUACCGUAUGGUCAUUGUUCUACAUAUUAACAUUGAACACUGCUGCGAUUGCUCAAGGACAUUUUAUGUUACGGCUUUAAAGCAAAGGCAUGAUUAUUAGACACUAUUUAAGCUUUUUUCUUUGAAAAACAAGCUCCUUUUACAGAAUAUAAGCAACAGUAGUGCCUGUGGUUUAGCCCACCAAUCUUGAUGACAAGUAGCUGAUGCAUUGUGCAUAUGAUGCUUGAGAUGGUUUUUGCAAAAGCAGAAAUCGCUGCAAGGUAAUCACAAUAGAUAAAAGUGGUAUUUUAAACCUUUGAAAUAAAUGGAUGUAACUGUACCUUGGUACAGCUUUUCACUUGUUUAGUUUUUAAACGUUAGUAUAAUCUGAAUAAAUAAAAUGUUGCCAAACUCAAUGUAGAAAGAAUGUGACAACACACCUUGGGUAGUUCUGCUUGUGUUUUUGCAUAUUGUAAAAGCAGUGUCACAGCU